rnacentral:rRNA from 1 species
AUUGAACGCUGGCGGCAGGCUUAACACAUGCAAGUCGAGCGGAGAGAGGUAGCUUGCUACUGAUCUUAGCGGCGGACGGGUGAGUAAUGCUUAGGAAUCUGCCUAUUAGUGGGGGACAACAUUUCGAAAGGAAUGCUAAUACCGCAUACGUCCUACGGGAGAAAGCAGGGGAUCUUCGGACCUUGCGCUAAUAGAUGAGCCUAAGUCGGAUUAGCUAGUUGGUGGGGUAAAGGCCUACCAAGGCGACGAUCUGUAGCGGGUCUGAGAGGAUGAUCCGCCACACUGGGACUGAGACACGGCCCAGACGCCUACGGGAGGCAGCAGUGGGGGAUAUUGGACAAUGGGCGGAAGCCUGAUCCAGCCAUGCCGCGUGUGUGAAGAAGGCCUUAUGGUUGUAAAGCACUUUAAGCGAGGAGGAGGCUACUUUAGUUAAUACCUAGAGAUAGUGGACGUUACUCGCAGAAUAAGCACCGGCUAACUCUGUGCCAGCAGCCGCCGUAACAC